AAAUGUUGACUAGUUUGGGAAUUAAUUUCGACUGUGUGAUUGCAAUUUAAUUUUUUUAGUGGGGUUGUCCCUUAGCCAUAUUUUAGGACACUUUGUGUAAUGUGUAGUCUUACUGCAGGGGCUUAAAAAUACAGCAGAUAACUGUAUUAUGUGUAUAUCAUGAACCUUUCCAUUAUCAAGUCUUUAUUUUAUGCUAUUAAUGAUAAUUUUGGAUUACCAGCUCUGUUGGGAUAUUUUUGGAAUGCAAACUGACAGCUUCUUGCAGGAUGUCUAAAAGACCUAGGGGAAGUAGGCAAAUUUCUUUAUGUGAAACGUAAGCUUGUUUGUGAUAAUGAACUUUACUGAAAUUUUGUGCUUUUACCUUCAAGAGUCUAUCAUAAGCUUAGGAGUCUGUUAUUUUUGACUGUAGCUCCUUUUAAAAAGGACAGCAGGUCCUUUUUAAAGCGGCAGUGUCUGGUGGUAUGAAGUUCUGCUGAGUUUCCAAUUCUAGAUAUUUUAAUCACUUCACCAGUUUAUAUACUCACUGUGGAUGAAAGAUGUCUUGGCUGAGACAUGCUGAUGAAUAUGAAAGAAAGUGUAGUGUGCUUAGUCACAGAAGGGUUUGUGUGGGUUUUCAGUAGUACUCUAAACAGAUGUGAGCUGAAGUUAAGGGAGAAAUAAACAACUGUUUUGAUUUCUCUUCCUCCUCUCUGAUUCACCCACUAGAGGUGAACCUCCCACCUCACUUUAUGGUUCUUUUUGAACACUGCCAUCCUCACAUGCAUUACUAUGGAUGCUACAUACCUGCUGGCAGGAGACCUGGAAUGGUGACUUAAAAAAUUGAAGCAGUUUAGCUGUUACACAGCUCUGUUCCCGGUAGAUACCAAGGUGGUUUGAAGAAAAACCACAAUACUUGUUUUACUGCUGAGAAGACAAAGUAAGAGGUAUAAAGCAGUUAUACCAAAUUCAUCUAGGAAGUCAGUGGCAAAAAGGGGUAUAAAACCCACUGCCUACUCCAUUACUAUGUUUGUCUUACAUCUUUGAAGGAAUGAAGGACAGAAGAAGAGGUGUUCUUGCUGAAAACCACAGGUUGGCCUGAAUUGGCAGGUGUUUUCCAUCUCUGUCAGGGAGAGACAGCCAUUCCUCCUCUCCUAGGCUUUCUCUUUGGAGGUAGCAUAUUACUUUUGGUAUGUAUAGGAAACAUAUUAGGCUAAGUAAGAAGGUCAGCUAAUUCUCCUAAAAGUGGUUGUCAGCAUAAGUAUUCAGUCAUGACCAGAAGUAUCUGCUGCAGGUAAAAUUUUAGCUGGCAACUAGGCUGGUGAUGCCCCCUUGAGGCAGGGGAAGGGUUCAGUGCUGAGCACAGAACAGUUCUACUGAGUUCAUCUUUGCAGUCAGAAGCACUCAGUUGUGGACCACUGUGUAUCAGAGGAUGCUUGAAUUGUGCCCUGGGUGAUAUGCAGUGUAUGAUGUACCAGGCCGUGUAAUAGCUGAAGAUGCAUUGUAUCCAAGGUCUAGGAAAAUAAACUUUACAUCUGGUGUCACCUGAAUUGGAUUCCGCUUUUCUGAGGAGCUAGAUUUUGGUGGAAUGUCGUGAUGUGCUUCUGGUUAUAAAUACUUACAAAAAGAUGUUCGCAAACAUGAGGAGGAGCCAGAAGAAUAGAAGGAAACAUGGCUAGAAUCCAAGGCGAGAUUGGCAAAGCAAGCUGAUGGCAGCAGAAGAGAAGAAUAGAAAGGGAAGGAUCAUCUGCUGAAGGUGUGGAAAACCAGCCUUCACAACUCAAAUGUGGUGGUACCAAGGCGUGUGUUUUUGGUUGGGUUUUUUUUUGUGACUGGAAGAGAAACAGUUGAGCUUCAGAUUCUGCUGAGAGAGGACAAUAUGAAGCUGCAGAGAAAAGAAAAAAUGACUUGAGAAACUGAAAUGGAAGAUGAAGCAUAGCCAAUAAAUAUGUACAUGUACAUCAAAGAGAAAUGGAAAAUGCAGUUCACUCGGUGUGCUGUGUGUUUGCUGCAUUUGGCAGUGCACACAGAAAAGGAGGACAAGUAACCUGGCUUAAACUGCAAGUCAUAAAAACUUAACUUCCAAAGACUUUCCCUGUUUUAAAGAACAGCAAGUUGUUUUUAUUUUCUAUUUCUUUUACGCUUCCUUAACUUCCCUUUGCUGAAUUUCUAUUGUCUUCUCACUGUCAAAAGGCAGAUAUUUACACAAUUUUUGUUUGGUCAUGCUGUAUAAAAAUACUGGCAUUUUAAAGAAAAAUGGCAGCUUAGGGGGUACACAAAUAUCUUGCAGCUCCUUUCAAUAGGCUUUCAUUCUGGUAUAAAGGUAAUAUGCUUUGCUAUGUUUCCAAGAGUCCCCUACCACUCAAGAGUAGUGAUAACAGAUAUGUGACAGUGCAAUUGGCAUCAAACCUGCCCAGGUCGAGUGAACCUGUAUUGUUAAGUAUACUGUACUAAUCAAAUAAAUGCUGGACAGAUUGCUUUAAUAUUUUGUCAUCAUCUGUUACUGGCACUUCAAUUUUAUUUUACACUUUUAUUGUUAACCUUGAAUAUGUGGAGGAAUCUUAUCUUGAGAAUCAGGGGUUUCUUCUGCAGGGGUACAUGAAAGCUAUGCUAAGUAUUCUUACCCCAAUGCUUUCAGCAGCUGGGAGGAGUAUCCCUUUUGGCAUGAAUUCUUUCUUUUUCCAUUCCUUGUUUCAGAAAAGUACUGAAAUAUUUGUGUGUGUUAUGCUUCCAGUAUGGAUUACCAGCUUCUCAGGUUUCAUGCACUAUUCACUUUUUAACUGGGUGAUUUCUGGGUUCAUUAAAUAAAUUUCUGGAAUCCCAGAGUUCUGCUGUAAUAUCAGGUAUUUUUUAGCAAAGAAAUUACUGAAGACUACUAUUUCAGAACUAUUUCACCAAUUACUGAAAUUUCAGACUCUCAUCUGAGAGCAUAAUCCUGUCACAGCAUAGCAUUUACAGGCCAAUCUCACUUUCAAUGAGAUUAUCGUGUUGGUAUCAACAGGCUUUAGAAUUCAUUGUGAUUGAAACUGAAAGAUGGGAUUUGUCUGCUGUAUUUGAGAUGACUGAGAGUUAAAAAGUCUGAGAUAGAACCAUUCAUCCUAAACUUUCUAGUCUGAAAGAAGCCAGUGUCUACUGCAAUACCUGCACUACAGAAAUGAAAUAAGGCAAAACCGACAAAUAAACUGAAUUAUAUUUAUUGGAUAUGUUAGUUAAAGCUAAGCUUUAUAAAAUUUAACAUGUUUGAUAAUUAUAGCAAGUAAAAGUAAAGCAAAAUUUUUUUCUUAUGAUCAGUUAUGUUUCUACUUAUCCUUUUUAUUUUGGGCUGGAGAUCUAAAUUCUCUCCCCCAUCUUGCCUUCAUUGAAAAAUAGCUUGUGUUCAUCUCACACUUCAUUUUUUUAAUCCCUGUUCCUUUUAUACUUCAUUAAUACCUGGGUUUGUUUUGGUUUUAGUAAUUUUCUUGAUACACUGAUACCAACUAGAAAGAAACUGCAAAAUAACAUUUUCUUUUGUUAUUUGUAUUAUAGAUGAUGGCAACAACAUGUAGCUUCAUAGAAGGUUAUAUAGCUAAUUGGAUAAUUUAGAAGUGACUAGGGAAAAUUGCUUUACAUCUUCAAUAUGAAAUUAAAGUAUUAGUAAACAAAACUUCGGCAGGUCUGUGGAAAGUUUUUCAGUUCCUGUUUUGAGUGUAUAUGUAAAGAAAAAUGACUUGGAGAUCACCACUGAAAUAGACGGGAGUUUAGCAGGAGGUUCAGUGUGCUAAUCUUAUGUGUGUUAGAAAAUUAGAAUUACGAUACAAAUUCCCUGCUAUUAAUUAGGAAACAAAAUUAUAAUGUAAAACAAUUUUACAAAUGAUCAGUUCAAACUGUUGUUGCCUUUUUUUAAGGAAUCUGUACUCCUUAAAAUUAACAGGAUUUAUUCAGGGUUUUAGUUCUUUUGAAGAAUCUUCUUUUUAAAUUGGAUACAAAUUGAUUGAAUUUAUCAAGUAGCAGGGUUGGGUCAUAUCUGCUGAUAAUCCUUUCAGAGACAUAAAGUGUUUUUGAGUGGGGAGAGAAAAAGAAUUGGUUUUCUUGAUUUCUGGCAGAUAUGAUAUUAAUUUAAACUGCGUCUUAGUUUUUUAAUUUUUAAAAUUUCAUGGUCAGUUUUCUGUUUAGUUGCUUUUCUGAAUAUAAUAGCUAGACAUGGGGUGAGAACCAAAAGUAUAUUUUUACAGGAACAUUUUUUUCUACAUUUAAUAUGAAAAACAUUGUGUUUGUUAUAGUUGGAGAUCGUUAUUAACUGUAAUAAACAUCAUGCAUUUAAUAACA